rnacentral:rRNA from 1 species
UCAGGCCUAACACAUGCAAGUCGAACGGCAGCACGGGUGCUUGCACCUGGUGGCGAGUGGCGAACGGGUGAGUAAUACAUCGGAACGUACCUUAUCGUGGGGGAUAACGCAGCGAAAGCUGUGCUAAUACCGCAUACGCCCUGAGGGGGAAAGCGGGGGAUCGCAAGACCUCGCGCGAUUAGAGCGGCCGAUGCCUGAUUAGCUAGUUGGUGGGGUAAAAGCCCACCAAGGCGACGAUCAGUAGCUGGUCUGAGAGGACGAUCAGCCACACUGGGACUGAGACACGGCCCAGACUCCUACGGGAGGCAGCAGUGGGGAAUUUUGGACAAUGGGGGCAACCCUGAUCCAGCAAUGCCGCGUGAGUGAAGAAGGCCUUCGGGUUGUAAAGCACUUUUGUCAGGGAAGAAACACCGGCUCUAACACAGUCCGGGAAUGAC